rnacentral:lncRNA from 1 species
GAACAAGAUGGCCGAAUGUUAGUACUGCCGGAGUGUAUGCUGUGUCUUUUGUAUUUUAUGUAACGUCUGUAUAACACAUGUAGUGUGAAUAAAUCGUGACUGUUAUUUUCUACAAAGAUGGGGUUAACUUAUAAAUUAUGAACGCUCGGAAUUCUACGUUUACAACACAUGCAAGCGGUCGAGAAAAAGUACAGAGAUUUUGUGUGUGACAAGGUGAUGCUACAACCAACUUCUCUUGAUAUUUUGCUUUCCUUGGGCGAAAGAUUUGUGCAUCAUUAGUGAUGUUAUAAGAUUUACACCAGAAGGCAAAAUUGUUGCGUCUUCAAAUUCGAAACAACAGAAAGCCAUAUAAGUGAUCAAACUGAUCAACAUGUAUCCUCACAACCUGACACCUUUAUUCGGUCUCACGCUCAGUUUCCUCCUUGUAGUUCGAAGAUGAAAACAGGGCUUUUGUGUAAAAGCACAACCUUUUAAAAUGACAGAAAACUACACAAAACUGAGUCGUCUGAACAUGUUGACAGUAUUUUGAGGUGCUAAUGUGAGUAAUUAUUUAUCAAUGCAAUGCAGUCUACCUUUCAGCAUAUGCAUUACCAAGUACUUAUUUAAGUCAACACCUGUGAAAUCAGGUAAAACAGUUAUUAAAAAAUUAGAAUUUGAACUUCCUUUCAAUUUAUUGACAACGAUUGUUAGUGAGGAUCUGUUUUUUUUUAUAAAAAGCACAUCUUCGACAUAUACCGGUACCGAUCACUUUUACCCAAAAUUGUCUCUGAUGUCUCUAAACUGCCAAACUCCAGAACAAACAAACUAGAUAUUAUGAUACCUUACAAUUCAGAAACAGCGGGGCUAAGGGGUAUCACAUAUAGAGUUUAGCUCUGAACUCAAUAUAGGGGAUGCCAUAUCUGCUGCAGGAAAAUUGCAGUCUAUGUUAAGACUUUCAGAAUUACACCCAGGUGAGUCUGAAGAAAUCAAGGAUACAUUAAAAGACGAACAAUUACAAAACACAAAGGGGAAUGUUUGAUACAAAAAGGUGCCGACAAUUUAGGCACCAACAAGGAGACAAUUGGUAGUAAGGAACGUUUCAUUCAAUGGCACGAGCAGACUUUCAGGUUUUUCGCUAUAUUGAAAAUCCAUUGGUGGCCUUCGGCUGUUGUCUGCUCUAUGGUCGGGUUGUUGUCUCUUUGACAUAUUCCACAUUUCUAUUUCAAUAUUAUUAUCCAUCCUUAAUUGAUUCCAGAAAGCGUCAGAUGAAAGUGAAGAGAUGUCAAGAUAACAAUUUUCAAUUGACUGACAGUGCAUCAUCGUUAGCAGCUGUUUCAUUAUACCAAAGGU